GACGAACGCUGGCGGCGUGCUUAACACAUGCAAGUCGAACGGAGUUUCUUGGAUCAAGACUUCGGUCAAGUGAAUUGAAACUUAGUGGCGGACUGGUGAGUAACGCGUGAGGAACCUGCCUUUCAGAGGGGGACAACAGUUGGAAACGACUGCUAAUACCGCAUGAAGCAUUCGGGUCGCAUGGCCUGAAUGCCAAAGAUUUUAUCGCUGAAAGAUGGCCUCGCGUCUGAUUAGCUAGUUGGUGAGGUAACGGCCCACCAAGGCGACGAUCAGUAGCCGGACUGAGAGAUUGACCGGCCACAUUGGGACUGAGAUACGGCCCAGACUCCUACGGGAGGCAGCAGUGGGGAAUAUUGGGCAAUGGACGCAAGUCUGACCCAGCAACGCCGCGUGAAGGAAGAAGGCUUUCGGGUUGUAAACUUCUUUUAAGAGGGAAGAGUAGAAGACGGUACCUCUUGAAUAAGCCACGGCUAACUACGUGCCAGCCGCCGCCGUAAUAC
rnacentral:rRNA from 1 species